rnacentral:lncRNA from 1 species
CACAAAAUGACUCUGACAGUUUUUUUAGCCUUUGUCUUUAGCAUGUAGAUCUAUAAUUGACUUGUUAUAUAGAAUGCCUAAAGUUGGUCUGUAGAUGUCACUGAGAAAGACACUUGAAAAAAAAAUCUUACUAAUCCACAUAACAAGAAUAACCUUUUAUUCACAUUUUAAAGCAUGCACAUUUUCUUUCAGCAAAAGUAUCAGUUAUGAUGGAAAUGCUAAUUCACUUGUUUAAAAGUAUGAAGAAGUAGCUCUCAACAAGUUACCAUUUGCUUCUUUAACCAAACUCCAGUGAGCACUUGUUGUGUGCCAUUUAUUCUGCCACCUUCAGAAACAUCAAAAGUCACCCCAAAGGCAAUGGAUGCCUCAAGGAUUGAACAGGCCAGUGGAAAAACAGAGCAACCCUCUAAGCACUUCUCUGAUUGUAUCACGAGCCCAUUCACAUGGCUUACUUUUGCUCCUGGGCAAAUCUGGGGCUACAUUUCUAAGAAACCCCUUCACUGAAGAGUUCCAAGUUACUGGAAGAAACGUGGAACAAAAGGAGUUCGGCAUGAAUUCUGAAAGGUCUACUGAGUCAAAAGGCAGUCAGCUAUGUAAGACGGGUAUACGGGGGUGAGAGUGAGGACAAACCCAUAAUCAAUGUCUGGAUCCCUGAUGAACUGAGCCUCACAUUGAUCUUUCAAUAUGUUCAAGUGUCCAACUUGAAUGAUUUGGUUGUCCUGCAGGAAAUGCUGCAGUCCUUCAUCAGAGCUGUAAAUGGCACUUGUGACAAAAAUCAAAGUAACUAAAAAAGAAUCUGGUUGGAACCUCAGUAACAACUGGCCUGUUUACUGCCUCACACUAACAAGGUAAGUCAGCUACCAGUGACAAUGUGAGCAAGUUGCAACAGUGCAUAGGACCCCUGUCUAACCCCCCAACCCCCUGCAUGUAACAAGCAUAUUAUUGUUGCUUCAUUUCCCUUUCUGAGCUCAGCCUCAGUACCAGACACAAGGACAGCAGCCUUACAUGUAUUUUUAAUCAGCUCCCACAGUUGUAUACCGUCAAAUACUUAUAGUCAAAGAGUGAGUGUUGGUGUGUGACUCCUAGUGCUGCAGUUUCUUCUCUUAAUACUCAUUGAUUCAUAAUUCAAAAACCAUUAGACUCCUUAUGAACAGAAUUUGAUGCCCUGAUGAGAAACAAACUUUGCUUUCAAGCUGUACUACUAAUGAUGAUCAUAACAAUAGCUAAAAUUUACUGUGCUCUUACCAUGUGACAGAAACUGUUCUAAAUGUUCUAUAUUAACUCUUAAAACAAAUACUCCUGGAGGUAGGUACUAUUACUAUCGUCAUUUUUAUUUUACAAGUCAGGCAACUAAUGUGCAUGGGAUUUAAGUCACCUCUCCAAGGUCACAUAGUUGAUGUGGAGAGUCCGCAUCAAUUACCAGCUGUGAUUUAAAGCCAGGGAGUCUGGCAUCUUGAGAGCAUAUUCUAACCAUUGUGUUUUUCCACUCCCAGACCAACUCUCUAAAUGAAGUUCAUCCUGAACAAUCUGAUCUCAG